UACGAAGGGGACUAGCGUUGUUCGGAAUCACUGGGCGUAAAGCGCACGUAGGCGGAUGUGUCAGUCAGGUGUGAAAUCCCGGGGCUCAACCUCGGAACUGCCUUUGAUACAGCACGUCUCGAGUCCGGAAGAGGUGGGUGGAAUUCCUAGUGUAGAGGUGAAAUUCGUAGAUAUUAGGAAGAACACCGGUGGCGAAGGCGGCCCACUGGACCGGUACUGACGCUGAGGUGCGAAAGCGUGGGGAGCAAACAGG
rnacentral:rRNA from 1 species